rnacentral:rRNA from 1 species
UUACGCUGUUAUCCCUAAGGUAACUUAAUCUAAUAAUCAAUAAUAAUGGAUCUAAUAUUCAUAAAUCAAUGUUAUGCAAAUAAAAAAGUUAAAUAUAUAUUUUUGUCACCCCAACAAAACACAAAAGAAUAUAAAAAUAUUAAUAUAUAAAUAUUUAAAUAAAGUUAUGUAAAGAUCUAUAGGGUCUUCUCGUCUUCCAAUAGAAUUUUAGCUUUUUAACUAAAAAAUUAAAUUUUAAAACAAAUAAAAUGAGACAGUCAGUUCCUCGUUGAACCUUUCAUUCCAGCCCUCUAUUAAAAGACUAAUGAUUAUGCUACCUUUGCACGGUCAGUAUACCGCGGCCGUUGAACUCCUCACUGGGCAGGUCAGACCUUCAAUUAAAUUCAAAAGGACAUGUUUUUGUUAAACAGGCG